rnacentral:rRNA from 1 species
CGUACGAGAAAUCCUGGGCAACUGGGAGAGUAAAGUGGCGCACGGGUGAGUAACGCGUGGGUAACCUACCCUUGAAUUGGGGAUAACUCCUCGAAAGGGGAGUUAAUACCGAAUAAUAUUCCAGUUCCCACGGGAGUUGGAAUCAAAGGUGGCCUCUGCAUGCAAGCUAUCGUUUAAGGAUGGGCCCGCGUGCCAUUAGCUAGUUGGUAGGGUAAUGGCCUACCAAGGCAACGAUGGUUAGCUGGUCUGAGAGGAUGGCCAGCCACACUGGAACUGAGACACGGUCCAGACUCCUACGGGAGGCAGCAGUGGGGAAUCUUGCGCAAUGGGGGAAACCCUGACGCAGCAACGCCGCGUGGGUGAUGAAGGCCUUCGGGUCGUAAAGCCCUGUCAGGUGGGAAGAAACCUGUGGAUGCUAAUAUCAUCCACACUUGACGGUACCACCGGAGGAAGCACCGGCUAACUCCGUGCCAGCAGCCGCGGUAAUACGGAGGGUGCAAGCGUUGUUCGGAAUUAUUGGGCGUAAAGCGCGUGUAGGUGGUUGGGUAAGUCAGAUGUGAAAGCCUCCUGCUUAACAGGAGAAGUGCAUUUGAAACUGCUCGGCUGGAGUACGGGAGAGGAGAGUGGAAUUCCCGGUGUAGAGGUGAAAUUCGUAGAUAUCGGGAGGAACACCAGUGGCGAAGGCGGCUCUCUGGUCCGAUACUGACGCUGAGACGCGAAAGCGUGGGGAGCAAACAGGAUUAGAUACCCUGGUAGUCCACGCCGUAAACGAUGGGCACUAGGUGUAGGAGGUAUUGACCCCUUCUGUGCCGAAGCUAACGCAUUAAGUGCCCCGCCUGGGGAGUACGGCCGCAAGGCUAAAACUCAAAUGAAUUGACGG